CGUGACGGGGUGACAGCCUUCGUGGUUGUAAACCUCUUUCAUUAUGGAACAAGCGUAAGUGACAAUACCUGCAAAAAAAGCGCCGGCUAACUACAUGCCACCAGCCCCGAAUACAUAGGGCGCAGCGUUAUCCGGAAUUAUUGGGCGUAAAGAGCUCGUAGGCGGUUUGUCGCGUCUGCCGUGAAAGUCCGGGGUUCAAGCCGUCUGCGGUGGGUGCGGACAAACAAGUGAUGUAUGGAAACUGGAAUUCCUGGUGUAGCAUUGAAAUCCUUAUAUUAGAAGAACACCGAUGGCGAACCCAGGUCCCUGGGCAUUAACUGACGCUGAGGAUCGAAAGCAUGGGGAGCGAACAGGGUUGGAUACCCUGGUAGUCC
rnacentral:rRNA from 1 species